rnacentral:rRNA from 1 species
ACUCCUACGGGAGGCAGCAGUGAGGAAUAUUGGUCAAUGGACGCAAGUCUGAACCAGCCAUGCCGCGUGAAGGAUGAAGGCCUUCUGGGUUGUAAACUUCUUUUAUUGGGGAAGAAAAUUACGGUUUCUACUGUAACCGACGGUACCCAAGGAAUCAGCACCGGCUAACUCCGUGCCAGCAGCCGCGGUAAUACGGAGGGUGCAAGCGUUAUCCGGAUUCACUGGGUUUAAAGGGUGUGUAGGCGGGUAUUUAAGUCAGUGGUGAAAUCUCCAGGCUCAACCUGGAAACUGCCAUUGAUACUAUUUAUCUUGAAUAUCGUUGAGGUUGGCGGAAUAUAUCAUGUAGCGGUGAAAUGCAUAGAUAUGAUAUAGAACACCGAUUGCGAAGGCAGCUAACUAAGCGAUUAUUGACGCUGAGGCACGAAAGCGUGGGGAUCAAACAGGAUUAGAUACCCUGGUAGUCCACGCCCUAAACUAUGAUUACUCGACAUACGCGAUACACAGUGUGUGUCUGAGCGAAAGCAUUAAGUAAUCCACCUGGGAAGUACGUCCGCAAGGAUGAAACUUAAAGGAAUUGACGG